rnacentral:rRNA from 1 species
UGGGGAAUUUUGCACAAUGGGGGAAACCCUGAUGCAGCGACGCCGCGUGAUUUAGAAGGCCUUCGGGUUGUAAAAAUCUUUUGUAUGGGAAGAAAAUGACAGUACCAUACGAAUAAGGACCGGCUAAUUACGUGCCAGCAGCCGCGGUAAUACGUAAGGUCCGAGCGUUGUCCGGAUUUAUUGGGUUUAAAGGGAGCGUAGGCUGUUUGUUAAGCGUGUUGUGAAAUGUAAGAGCUCAACUUUUAGAUUGCAGCGCGAACUGACAGACUUGAGUGCGCACAACGUAGGCGGAAUUCAUGGUGUAGCGGUGAAAUGCUUAGAUAUCAUGACGAACUCCGAUUGCGAAGGCAGCUUACGGGAGCGCAACUGACGCUAAAGCUCGAAGGUGCGGGUAUCGAACAGG